AAUCUGCAAGAGUUGGCACAUUAGUGAAAAGCUGUUUUGCAGUUAGAUUCUCUUGAGAUACUACCAGUUCACAUGGCAAUUUUCUAUUUGUGUUUGACAAAAAUGUUAACUAUUAUAUCUUUAAGACUAUAGAAUUUAGAUUUAUUAGAUGAAGUAAAUUAGUUACAUACGUGAAUAGAUUUGUUCUUGAACUGUUGUUAGAGUAAUGUAUUCUGGUUCCUUCCAAUAACUUAGGUGACGUUGGCAUGUAACACAUACUGGUCUUUCCAGUGAUUGUUGUGUAUCCACUGUACGUCAGACAUUGUUGUGGACCUUUAUACUGGGAUUUCUGAUUAUCCUCCUGGAAAGAAUUAAUAAUUACUCCUUUUAAAAGUAUCUAUUUACUUCUUUUGUUUUUUUUUUUUUGGACUUAUAGUUAUAUUUAUUUCUUUUCAGAUUUAGAAGAACAAUAUAUAAUUUUAAUUUUUCAAAAUGGCCUUGAUCCUCAGGCAAAUAUGGUAUUUGAAAGUAUCAUUAAUGAAAUUGGUAUAAAGAAUAACAUCUCCAAUUUUUUUGGGAAAAUUGCCUUUGAAGAAGCUAAUGGCAGACUUGUUGCCUGUACAAGAACCUAUGAAGAGAACAUCAAAGGAAGUUGUGGGCAAAAGGAAAACAAAAUUAAAAGUGUAAUUAUGUUUUUUAAUUUAAAAAUAUUCUUAAAUUGUGGGUAGUUUUAAAGGGAAAUAUGUUUUAUUUUAAUACUGUUCAUUUCAGUGUUAAAUCUUUUUAAUUUUAUUUCAGAAUUACUUACUUUUAUGUGUGAUUUGUAAACUACCUUGUGUCAAAACAGUGGUGGGUAGGUGCCAAAUACCACUUGAUACAGGUCUCAGAAGCAUUUUUGGUUCCUCCCCAUUCUAUCCUUAUCUUUACUUUUCAUCAUCAUUUUUUCUGUCAUCCUUUUUUCUUUAUACCCUACUUCCAACAUAUAUAUGCACACACUGCUACAUUCAAAUGGAUUGGUUACCCUGUGUCUUACGUUUGAAGAAAUUGUGGUCCGUGGUGUACAUUUGUAUGUAAUAUAGGCAUAUAUGGUUGAAAACUUGAGAGAUGAAGAAUACAUGCUAUUUGAUCUUUAUUGUCAAAACAUGUAUCUAGUACUAAAAUAACUAUUCAUAUAGGUAGGUAACUCGGAAGCCACCUGAAGCAAAGGCCACAAUACUACUAAACACAUAGUAUAAUGGUAAAUAAUACAAACAUAAUUUUAAAACUCUAAGUUUAUUUCCUGUUACAGCAACUUAGCUUUGCUGACCUAAUUUAUUGGGAACAAAUCUCUCACACUGCCUACAAACUUGGAAAUAUGGCUAUCCACAGCACAAUCUUGGUGAUAGUUAGCAAGGACUCCCCAGAGAAGAGCUGUAAAUAUAGUUAAGUGGGUUGAGAAAAGAACAAAAGAAGAAAGGGAAAUGGUUCUUUUUCUUUUGCAUAGUUUGCAUGGGAGACAGUGCCAGAGGAAGAAAAGAGCAGCAUAAUGCCACUGGGAUGGACUCAAACUUCAAAGGAAGGUUCUUUCCUCCAAGGAACCCCUGUUUCACUUAGCUUUAUGGAGGGCUGAAACUCAUUAGACUGUGUUCCCUGAGCCUCUGCCCCUACAUCUUAUAGAUUGCCUAGCCAUUGAACUAAGAGGCAAAAACCACUUUGGUUUUUUUGAAAGGUUAUUUGAAUUUUACCAGCAUUAUUUAAUUUCAUGUAGAUAGUAGAGAUCUUAGAGAAGUAAGAUACUGGAAAAUUACUGUUACAUAAGUUGGGAGAGUAUCACUAUCUAGAAGCUACAGAUAAUAAAGUGGCCCCUAGUUUUGCCUGUUUCUUGUUUUUAAUUGUUAAGUAUCAUGCAUACUUUUUAGUUCCACAUUUUUAAUCCUUUUGCAUUGAAAAGCAUUCUUGCCUUGUGCUUACCCUUUUUACUGAAACUUUUCCUAAUUGACUGUAAAUUGCUAAUUUAAUUUCCUUUACCAGGUAUCAUUUGAAUCUAAAAUACAACUUAGAAGCAAACAAGAAUUUCAGUUUUUUGAUGAAGAAGAAGAAACUGGAGAAAACCACACCAUCUUCAUUGGCCCAGUAGAAAAGUUGAUAGUAUAUCCACCACCUCCAGCUAAGGGAGGCAUCUCUGUUACCAAUGAGGACCUGCACUGUCUAAAUGAAGGAGAAUUUUUAAAUGAUGUUAUUAUAGACUUUUAUUUGAAGUAAGUUAAUUUUCCACUGAUCUUUUAUUAAAUCUUUAACAUUCCGUC
rnacentral:sRNA from 1 species